GUCAAGCUAGAAAGGGCUCAUGGUGGA
rnacentral:rRNA from 1 species